CCUGGGCUACUCACCUGACUUCCUAAGGCCUCCCGCAUUUCUUCUCAUUUCUAUUACAGUAGCUGUCUCAGAGAGUCACGAGGGCCAAAGGAGAUAUCCAGGCACAUGCUCAGCACAGCAUCCGAGAGCAGAAAGGGCUGAUAAAUGGAAGCGCCUGGCUCUUGGAGAGAGGCCGCCACUUGGUGAAGUAGAAGGCUGUGGGAUGAAG
rnacentral:lncRNA from 13 species